rnacentral:tRNA from 1 species
CUAAAAGUAGUUAAAAUAUAAUGUAAAAUUGUCAGUUUUAAGUACCUACAUUGAAGGCUUUUAGU